GGGGACGACCCGGUUUCGACGGUGCGUGCUGGAAGUGAAGUGGCGAGUCGAGGAUGACCGUUGGCCUCGUUAAUCAUCGGUCAAGCCUUUCAAAUGGCAACAACAGCGUUUCUUACGCAUACGCAGCUUAAUUGACUGCGCAGUGACCACGCAGCCCGGCCUUUGGCGUCGCGGAAACUGAUACAAAAGAAGGCUAGUUGACCCAAGUGCUCCGAUAAGUCAGCGAAAUUUAGGAGAUAGGCGCGAAAGCAGCGUGUCCAUGCGCGGCUGAGCGAGGAGAAUCAAAUCACGGACUACACUCGUAGAAGCCCACCAAGGCUGUAUCGGACGAGGGUUCGACUCCCUCCGUCUCCACCA
rfam:Deinococcus marmoris strain KOPRI26562 contig-3000013, whole genome shotgun sequence.